UUUAUCUAUCUUUGACUGGUUUGACUAGGUGUUUAGUGAGUGGGCCCCACUGUUUGUUUCAUUGCCUUAAUUUCCGGAUCUUGCCUGAUGGUGGAUUAUUGGUUUUUCCUGUUUUUGAUUAGUGGAGGCUUUUAAUUGAGUUUAUGGGUUGCUUUUAUAGGUUUAGCUGUGCAACCAAUCUUCUUGCUCUCCAAACUCUCUUAUCCUUGAAACAACUCAACCUUGGCCGAAUUUUGGUGUCAUUUUCUUUUCUCUUUAUGCUUGGUUUUUGAGUGGAACUUGUCACCAACAAGCUUAGAGAUCCAUACCGGGCUGUAGUUCGCGGGACUUGGUGAACCCAACUCUGUAGCUCGGAGCCAGGAGAAGAUCAAGUUUAGGUCCAGGGGGUG